GAAAAACUACCGUCAACUGUC
rnacentral:misc_RNA from 1 species